GCAAUUGCGAGUGCGAGUGCAACUUUUAUUGAGGCAACCGACCACCCCAGGUGGGUUUCGAUGCCAAGCGAUUCCUGCGCUGUUUACCCUCGAUACAAUCUUGGCCAGUCCUAAAUGGCAUCAGUGUUCCCAAGCUAUUCCAUUCUGUGGCAUCGUUCCAACUAGGCCUAAACCAAGUGAAGCAGUAGCAGUAACAGCAGCUGUAACACGUUGAUUAUGCAAGCUCCAUGAUGAA